rfam:Camelus ferus isolate Naran unplaced genomic scaffold scaffold615, whole genome shotgun sequence.
GCGGGUAGAGCUUAGUGGUAGAGUACGUGCUUAGCAUGCACGAGGUCCUGGGUUCAAUCCCUAGUACCUCCA